rnacentral:rRNA from 1 species
CAGCAGCCACGGGAAUACCAGCACCUCGAGUGGUCAGGAGGUUUAUUGGGCCUAAAGCAUCCGUAGCCGGUUGCAUAAGUUUUCGGUUAAAUCUAUGCGCUUAACGUAUAGGCCGCCGAAAAUACUGUGCAGCUAGGGAGUGGGAGAGGUACACGGUACUCGAUAGGAAGGGGUAAAAUCCUUUGAUCUAUUGAUGACCACCUGUGGCGAAGGCGGUGUACCAGAACACGUUCGACGGUGAGGGAUGAAAGCUGGGGGAGCAAACCGGAUUAGAGACCCCUGUAGUCCCUGUCUCUUAUAC